GAACCUGAAGAAACGCUCAUUAGAACCCGGCUGACCCCCCUCUUUGACCUUUAAAAAUAGCUGAUAUGAGAAGCCAAAGUGUCUUACAAUACGGACCCAUAUAUUUGGCAUAGGGAUGAGUGAGAAACCUGACAAAGAAAGGGAAGGAGGUAGGAAGGUAGGUGUAUAUAUAUAACUACGGCAGCUGCUUAAAUGGCAGAGUGGUGACAUUUAUACUUCAACGGCAAAUAUAUAGAGAAGACGAAAAUAAUGAAGAAAGUAGAUGGUGGGUAUGGCCGUGGUCCGCACCUAAAUGGAAGGAAAAAAAGAGGAAAAGAUGGAGUAAGGAGGAAAAAGAAGAAAAGAGGAGGAAGGAGGGUAACGAUAAUACCACCACUACUAUUAUUACUACUACUACUACUAACAACAAUAAUGAUAAUAAUAAUAAUAAUAGGAUAGAAUAUAUUUAGGAAAGAAAAGAAGGAGAAGUACAUGAAAAAUAUGAAUAUGGAAAUGAAUAAGAAUAAGAAAAUAAGAAGCAGAAGAUAAAAAAUAAGAAUAAGAAAAAAAAGAAGAAAAGAAGGAAAGUACACAAAAUAUGGGGUAAGAAAAUAAAGAAGCAGAAGAUAAAAAAUAAGAAAUAAUAUUAAGAAGAAAAAGAAGAAAAGAAGGAAAGUACACAAAACAUGGGGUGGCACAAAUAAACAAAAUUACUGAAGGUAAAUGAUUAUGAUGCCCACACAGAUAUUUGUUCCUGGCAUAUAUGAAGGUUAGUUUAGUUGGUCUAUCAGUUCUAAUGGUCAUGGCUUGGAAAUCUUAAAUGGUAACUCACAGAAAGAAAAAAAUAGCUUAGAUGCAUUCCUAUUACAUAUCAAAGAAUUCCCAAACUGAAGUAGUUGCAACACAGAUACAUAUUUCUUCUUGGCAUAUAUGAAGGUUAGUUUAGUUGGUCUAUCAGUUCUAAUGGUCAUGGUUUGUAAAUCUUAAAUGGUAACUCACAAGAAGAAAAAAAAAUAGCUUAGAUGCACUCCUCUACUACAAAUCAAAGAAUUCCCAAACCGAAGUAGAUGCAAAAUAAAAUGACUACGUAAAG